UCACAUCCAAUUAGGUUGACUGGCUCCAUCUCAGUCAAGAGCCAUUGAUUGUGCUUUGGUUAUGGAAAGCAGCCUUUUUUUUGGUUGUGUAUAUAUUCCUUGUUCUUUAUAUGGGAUUCUCUAAGGGAUUUAGAAGAUACUU